AAGUCGUAACAAGGUCUCCGUUGGUGAACCAGCGGAGGGAUCAUUACAGAGUUGCAAAACUCCCAACCCUUUGUGAACGAACCUACCAGUUGCUUCGGCGGGAAGCCCCCUGGGGCGGACCGCCGGAGGAAUACAAACUCUUGAAUUUUUGGCAUCUCUGAGUACUUAUUAAAUAAGUUAAAACUUUCAACAACGGAUCUCUUGGUUCUG
rnacentral:misc_RNA from 1 species